rnacentral:misc_RNA from 1 species
AAAAUAAAUAAAUAAAUAAAAGGAGGGAAAAAAAGGGUGGAGAAUGAGAAAACACGUGGGAAUUGAAGAGAUGAGUGCUGAGAUUUUGCGGGGUUUUAAUUGGGCGUGACAGCUGUCGGAGCUGUGUAAUCACAAAGAUAAUUUGUCUGUGUUGGAGUUUUUUUUGGACACUUUUUGGCUUACGUGUCUUUUUAGCUAGAAAAAUAAUCUGAGAAGACACGCAGGAAAUGAAUUUUUUCAACUCUUUUUUUUAUUCAAUAAGGCACGG